AUGUCAGAUGUAAGAUCAUUAUUACAGAUGGAACUAUAUACAUGUGAAGGCAAUAGAACAGCCUUGCUAUCAGACAAAAAGUCAUCAUUAGAAGAAACAGACACAGAAGGCAGUGCAACAAUCUUGCUAUCAGACAAAGUGUCAUCACUACAAGAAGCAGACACAGAACAAACAGAAGUAGUAGAGCAACUAACAGAGGAAGAAG
rnacentral:lncRNA from 1 species